CUGAAGAGUCAAGCCUGCUGUGGCCACAAACCCAAUCAGAGUCCUCAUCCAACAUCUUUGCAGAUCUAUUUACAGGGAGAAGGCUGAGAUGUUCAAAGCACUCAUCCUGAGGGCCUUGCUUGUUCCUUGAAGUAAGAAGACAAAAGAGGUCACAAAGAUGAGAGUGGAAGUAAGAUGUGAGGAGUGAACACGAUGCUGAUUUAGAAUAAGAGGGAUGAGAGCCAGAGCGAACCAAGGUUGGGUUGAUGUCUUCCAGCUGGAAGCCUGGAAGGAAGGUCCUGAGAACCUUUACAGACGAAAGCAUCAUUCCAGCAGAACACACUGGGUGAACACUCUGCCAGACCAUCUUCCUUGCGAUAGGUGCCAUGAACCCUCUGAGAGUGUGUAUAAAGGGUAACAUCACUCCAGACCAUGUUUGGGGGCCAAGAUCAGAGCUCUACUCCCCAGCAUCUGAGAAGAUCUCAACCUCAUAGAUCCUGACCAUGGCCUGGUUUGUACUUUCUUCCUCUGCCAGGCCUUUAAUCACAGAAUACAGUUUAACCAAAGUCUCUUUACAUUUCUCCUUUGUGGAUUGCCUUUUCAAUUAAAUGGUAUUGUAAGAACAUCAACUAUUCAGGCUUCCUAGAGAACUGGGUAGCCAGGAGGACUGAAAAGUUAUCAAAGUAUGGCAAAAACCUGAGCAAGUGUGUAAGGUCUCUGUGAAUUGUGAAGGCAAC
rnacentral:lncRNA from 1 species